AGGGCGCCGCGUACGUCUGGCCCAAUUUCCGCCUUAUUUUUGCUCUACGAGUGCUCUAUCUUGUACCCUUGUAGUACAUAUUUCUAGUAUCUUCCCUGACUGACAACGAUAAGCAACAAACAUAGCGCGGGGUUGUGUACGGAGGCCUAGGCUAGUAAGGAUGAACAAUUCCAUUCUAUAUCUGCUACUUCUGGUGUUCGCAGUGCAAUGUUGCAGUGGACAAACAAGAACAGCCAGAACUACUAUUACUGAAAGCGUAUAUUACGAGACCAUUGCAUCUAGCCAAGUUUCCCUUGUUUAUUUUUAUGUGUCCAGCUCAAAUGAUGAGUAUAUGAACUUUCUAGAUGGCUUCUACGAAGCAUCAGACUAUCUUAAAGAUUUUAAGAUAAAACUUUCUGUGGUAAGUACUGCAUAGUACAUUUAUUAGGUUUGCCCAUACUAUCAAAUUUUAU